UGUGUUCAUGCAGCCGCGCAUUUCCAAGAAAAAAAAAAAGAACAACGCCCUCCUCUCUGUUCUUCCCUCCCUCGCGCGUGAGUCUCUUUUUAUCAUCGAUUCCACUACGUUUCGUACAUUUUUUUUAGAGAGGGCAGAGAUUUGUACAAGAGAGCAGCGAUGUGGCGAAAUCUCAGGACCCCUCUCGUCCUCGAGGGGGAAUCGAACGGCUAUUCUUAUCUUUCCGUUAAAGAAUCGUACGAAUAUCGUACUGGUGACGUUUUCAGCCUUAUCCUUUAGGGGGAUUCCAAUUCGAAACGGGGGGCGAAAUAACGAAUUUGCCCCAGCCUUCUUCUGAUUUUCCCCCGCCAUCGUAACCCGAAAACCCUAGUAAUUCCCCCUAUAAAUACCCUUCUCCCCAAUGGUUUUGGAGGUGUGGAAUUUUGGGAUUGGAUUUUUGAUUUCUUAGUUUAAAUUUCGGGAAAUAUUUUAUCUUGGUUGAGAAGAUUCCUGGUGAGAAAUACUCAUAACACACAAAGCGGAUACCGAGAGGAGUGCAUACACACAGAACUCUAGCUCGAUUUGAGGUCUAAGAUUCGUCUUCCCAGCGUCCGGUUUGUUUCUUUCUACUUCGAAGUUUUGUAGCAAAGCCAUCACCUCCUCACUCGUGUUGUUCUAUUUCGCUUCUCCGAAAAGGUAACAUUUCUUCCUCGACGACAUUCUUUUCAUAUUUUGGUCUUCCAGUGUUAAGAAUCACUGUUUUUUUGUGGUUGGUUGGUAGACGUGUGUUGCUGAGUUUAUAAUGUCCUAGUGUGAUCCAGUGACUUGGUUGAGCUGAAUCAUUUGAUAUUUGCGUAUAUUGUUGUGGUUUCCCUGUUCCUCUCUUCAAGUGGCUUUGUCAUUUGUCCUUUUGUUUGCUGGUUCGAUGCGGCAGUUCAUUUAGUUUCAUUCUCAUUUUUCUUAAGCACCAUAGAGUGUUAUUCACUUGAUCGUUUUUCUUUGAAAUUAGGGCAGACCUCAAACUAGUUGGUAUGAAGGACAUUCAUCAUUCUAUUUCUUGUUUGAUUGACAUAGUAGAUGGUUUUCUUCAUUUUUUUAUUCUUUUCUUAACCUUAGGAUGGUUGUAUAAUACAAUAUGCUCUGUUCGAAGUUGAAUCUUUGCUUCUAUUUUGUUUAAGUUUUGUCAAAUCUUAACCAUUUUAGUUGAGUUUGGGGAAUGUAAGUUCAUUACAUUUUGCUCAAAGAUUCAUAAUGCAAUCCUAGUCCCAUGUUUGGCCUUAGUUUCAUGAUGUUGUUUCAUAGCUUCCCUUUUAAAGUUUCGGAUGCUUAGAUAAAUCACAGUGGGGUGAGAAUUGUUUUCCACCUAGGUUUAUUUUGUUGUGAUUUGUUCAUCUCUUCCUCUUCUAAUAUGUAAAGCGGCAUGUUGCCUUUUCCACUUGGCUCUUGAUUCAAUUUCUUCAUCUGCAUAUUGGUAUUAAUAAGUGUCUCUUUAAUCGUUGACUUGGCUUGGAAGCGAUAUUGUCAUCUUUAAACUGCAUGGGUGGUGUUUCCAACUGUAGCAAGUUCUUUUUCUCAUUGUUUCUCCCCCCUAACUUCCAAUGGCCUGGUCAUUGAUGUCAAAGAGAGGAGCUACUGCUAAUUAACUGAACAUGUAAGGUUAAAUCUCCUUAUUUCAUCCCGUUUUAUUUUAUUCCAUCUUUUGUUGUAUCUAUUUAUUUUAUUUUUAUGAUAAGUUAGUCACUAGAUUGUGUGUUGUGGAAGCUAUAUUUCCUCUUUGAUGCUUUUCCAUUUGUCGUUGAUCAUUAUGUGGUGUAUAGGUGAAGACUAUCUUUCGUUUCGUUUUUAAUAUCUCUAUCUUGUUUUAUUGCAUGUGAAAAUUCUUCUCGAGUCCUCAUUGGACUUUGUUCCGUCUCGCUGCACUUCCUCAUCGAGCCAUAAAGGCUCAGAACAUCUUCGUCGAGUCUUAGAUUGCUUCAAAACUGGAAUACAGAUCGAAAUAUGGCAAUAUGUGUUGCUGGAAAUUACAGUUUGCAGAUAUUGAGAAGCUGUAUACCAGCUAUAUACACAGUUUAUACCAUGAUAUACAGGUUGAAAUGUGUACAGGAGGCCAAAAUUUGAAAUCUGGCUUGAUAGCAGUGAAAAUACGCUGCUGAAAGUGGAUUUUUCAAGAUGAAUACUUCGAUUUUGAUGAGACAUUCCGGAAUUUGGGUGAACAAAUUGCAGAAUGAAAGUUACAAAAUCGACGGAAUCGUUGUUGGAGAUUCAAUUUCGUAUCUAAUACAUGUAUCAGAAACGUCGACUAAACAAUAUACACACUGAUUCUAUAUGUAUCAUCAAGUACAGUUGAUGACACAUUUAUUAAA